CUACGGGCUGCUGCAGUCAAGAAUCUUCCGCAAUGCGCGAAAGCGUGACGGAGCGAUGCCGCGUGCCGGAUGAAGGCCUUCGGGUUGUAAACGGCUUUUAUUAGGGACGAACAAAUGACGGUACCUAAUGAAUAAGGGGUUGCUAACUCUGUGCCAGCAGCAGCGGUAAUACAGAGACCUCAAACGUUGUCCGGAUUUAUUGGGCGUAAAGGGUUCGUAGGCGGUUUUGUUAGUCAUAUGUUAAAUCUUCGGGCUUAACCCGGAGGCUGCGUGUGAUACUGCAAAACUAGAGGAUGGAAGAGGUGCACGGAAUUGCCGGUGUAGCGGUUAAAUGCGUUAAUAUCGGCAAGAACACCAAAAGCGAAGGCAGUGCACUGGUACAUUCCUGACGCUGAGGAACGAAAGCGUGGGUAGCGAAUGGGAUUAGAUACCCCAGUAGUC
rnacentral:rRNA from 1 species